rnacentral:rRNA from 1 species
UACGGGAGGCAGCAGUGGGGAAUAUUGCACAAUGGGCGAAAGCCUGAUGCAGCUAUGCCGCGUGUAUGAAGAAGGCCUUAGGGUUGUAAAGUACUUUCAUCGGGGAGGAAAAAACAAAACUAAUAAUUUUAUUUCUUGACGUUACCCGAAAAAGAAGCACCGGCUAACUCCGUGCCAGCAGCCGCGGUAAUACGGAGGGUGCUAGCGUUAAUCAGAAUUACUGGGCGUAAAGAGCACGUAGGUGGGUUUUUUAAGUCAGAUGUGAAAUCCCUGGGCUUAACCUAGGAACUGCAUUUUGAAACUGAAAUACUAGAGUAUCGUAGAGGGAGGUAGAAUUCUAGGUGUAGCGGUGAAAUGCGUAGAUAUCUGGAGGAAUACCUGUGGCGAAAGCGGCCUCCUAAACGAAUACUGACACUGAGGGUGCGAAAGCGUGGGGAGCAAACAGGGAUUAGAUACC